rnacentral:rRNA from 1 species
AACGAACGCUGGCGGCAUGCCUAACACAUGCAAGUCGAACGAACCCUUCGGGGUUAGUGGCGCACGGGUGCGUAACGCGUGGGAAUCUGCCCUUGGCUUCGGAAUAACAGUUAGAAAUGACUGCUAAUACCGGAUGAUGUCGCAAGACCAAAGAUUUAUCGGCCAGGGAUGAGCCCGCGUAGGAUUAGGUAGUUGGUGGGGUAAAGGCCUACCAAGCCGACGAUCCUUAGCUGGUCUGAGAGGAUGAUCAGCCACACUGGGACUGAGACACGGCCCAGACUCCUACGGGAGGCAGCAGUGGGGAAUAUUGGACAAUGGGGGCAACCCUGAUCCAGCAACGCCGCGUGAGUGAUGAAGGCCUUAGGGUUGUAAAGCUCUUUUACCCGGGAUGAUAAUGACAGUACCGGGAGAAUAAGCUCCGGCUAACUCCGUGCCAGCAGCCGCGGUAA